UCGAGAAUCUUCCGCAAUGGACGAAAGUCUGACGGAGCGACGCCGCGUGGUGGAUGAAGUCCUUAGGGACGUAAACACCUUUUAUGAGGGAAGAAGUUUAUUGACGGUACCUCAUGAAUAAGGGGCUCCCAAUUCUGUGCCAGCAGGAGCGGUAAUACAGAAGCCCCGAGCAUUACCCGGAUUUACUGGGCGUAAAGGAUGUGUAGGUGGUGUGAUUAGUCGGGCGUUAAAUCUUCGGGCUUAACCCGGA
rnacentral:rRNA from 1 species